GCGCCGCCUCCCCCUUUCUUUGCUCUGUGCUGCCUCGCCCCUUUCUCUGCUCUGCGCCGCAAAGCUGGAUCGACGGCGACAAGCGACGCCGCGUCUCCUAACCACACCGACAGCAACGGGCUCGACGGCGACGGGCGACGCCACGUUUCCUCACCACGCCGGACGCAGACGGACGCGCCUCCCCUGGUUUCUCGCCGAACGUGACGAGCAGGAGCAGAGGCCUAUCGUCGCAACAAUAGACAAGGAAAAGGGGAAGGCGAAUGGGAAGGAGAAGGAGAAAGAGAGGACCUUGGACUCCAUUAUGAAGAGUAAGUUGCCGGUCUCGGGGACCUCCGCCUCGACGUCCCCCUGACCCCACCGGCGCUGGCGUGCGUGCCGGAAUCGCCGCUGCCUCUGGCUCCGCAAACGACUAUGAGAGGGAGGCUACAUCUUCCCAGGCAAUGGAGCAUGAUAAGCAAGUGGAGGAGGAUCAUGAAGAUGUGGAAGAGGAUGAGGAGGAGGACGAGGAAGAGCAAGAUACUUUGUUUGAGA